rnacentral:tRNA from 1 species
UCCCUGGUGGCUCAGAUGGUAAAGCAUCUGUCUGCAAUGCAGGAGACCUGGGUUUGAUCCCCGGGUUGGGAA